UUGCUAGACCAGCUAAAGAACCUAGAAUAGAAGAAGGGAAAAGAUUUCCUUCCCUAUGUGGUAUUUAUGUAGUGUUUAAGUGUUAAGUGUUGUUGCGCUUUCUUUCUAAUCCAGGCCUCUUGAAUGCAAGACUGAUCUGAACCCCCAGGCCCUUGUGAGGACACAGGAGAAGGAACCACAUCACAUGGGCAGAAUCUGAGCUUCAGAGUCCACUUACAGACAUGGCGCAACAUACCUGAUUAUGCUACCAGAUGGAAUGGAAGUGAUAUCAGCCUGGACAAUGUCGGAGGAAAAUUAUAGAUGAUAAAUUAAGUGCGUGGGAGGAAGAAAAAGAAACAAAGGUUUAGGAUAUCAGUGUCAUCAUAUUAUAAAGUGAGCAAUGCAUUUUUAAAGGAUAAAGGAAUAAAGAUGAAAGGAUGUGUGAAGUGUGAAUAUCGCUUAGAGGUACAAAAGUAAUUAAUAGACUUUAUAUAAAUGGUGAUAUAAUUAUGUGGGAGUUUUGGGCUUAAUUAGGAGAAGGAGUAAGUGACCUAAGUGCUCAUCUAUUAAAACUCUACCACGCUGCCUGGAAGAGGGGGCUGAGGGGCGGAUGGAGCGGGAAGCUGGGGUUAGCAGAUGUAAACUUGUAUAUAUAGGAUGGAUAAACAAGGUCCUACUGUAGAGCACAGAGAACUACAUUCAAUAUCCUAUGAUAAACCAUAAUGGAAAAGAAUAUUAAAAAUGUAUAA
ensembl:lncRNA